CCUCCUUCUAAUCCACCAACUUAGUGUUGAUGAAGACUAAACAGAGAGAUCACAGCCUUCUUUAUACUUGCUGUAGCUCAGAGUUACUCCACACUGCAGAUAUGAAGCCUCUGUUCAUCUCAGUGUUGCUGGCUGCUUUGAGCCUUGAAUGCAGAGCACAAAAAGACAACGUGCUGCAACCUAAAGAAGAUGUGACUGCUACUGAAGGAGAGGCAGUAACACUUGGCUGUCAGUAUGACAGCAGUUCAUCUAAUGAUUAUCUCUUCUGGUACAAACAGGAUGGAAACAACAGCCUCAAAUUCAUUCUGAGCCGCUUUAAGGUUGGCUCCGGGAAAACAGUUGAUGAGGAGAGAUUUUCAUCCACACUGAAUUCCAGCUUAGGAUCAGUUACUCUGAAGAUCCAUAAGCUUCAGCUGUCUGACUCUGCUGUGUACUACUGUGCUCUGAGGCCC